rnacentral:rRNA from 1 species
UACGAAGGGGCCGAGCGUUGUCCGGAUUCAUUGGGCGUAAAGAGCUCGUAGGCGGUCGCGUAAGUCGGGUGUGAAAUCUCCGGGCUCAACCCGGAGGGGCCACCCGAUACUGCUCGACUUGAGUCCGGUAGGGGAGUGGGGAAUUCCUGGUGUAGCGGUGAAAUGCGCAGAUAUCAGGAGGAACACCGGUGGCGAAGGCGCCACUCUGGGCCGGUACUGACGCUGAGGAGCGAAAGCGUGGGGAGCAAACAGG